rnacentral:misc_RNA from 1 species
AAGUCGUAACAAGGUCUCCGUAGGUGAACCUGCGGAGGGAUCAUUACCGAGUGAGGGCGCCCGCCGCCCGACCUCCCAACCCUUUGAUUUGAUCAAGACCGCCUUCUGCCUCGGGGGCGACCCGGACCUCGCGGUCCGCCGGUCCCCCCGGUGGUCACCAACCAACAACUCUGCAUCAAUCGUCGUCUGAGCGUUUGAAGCGAAUUCAAUCAAAACUUUCAACAACGGAUCUCUUGGUUCUG